AUCUUGCGCAAUGGGCGAAAGCCUGACGCAGCAACGCCGCGUGCGGGAUGAAGGCUCUCGGGUUGUAAACCGCUUUCAGCAGGAACGAAACUGACGGUACCUGCAGAAGAAGCCCCGGCCAAAUACGUGCCAGCAGCCGCGGUAAUACGUAUGGGGCAAGCGUUGUCCGGAUUUAUUGGGCGUAAAGAGCUCGUAGGCGGCUCGGUAAGUCGGGUGUGAAACCUCCAGGCUCAACCUGGAGACGCCACCCGAUACUGCCGUGGCUUGGGUCCGGUAGGGGAUCACGGAAUACAUGGUGUAGCGGUGAAAUGCGCAGAUAUCAUGUGGAACACCAGUGGCGAAGGCGGUGAUCUGGGCCGGUACUGACGCUGAGGAGCGAAAGCGUGGGGAGCAAAC
rnacentral:rRNA from 1 species